UUGAAAAAGGCUUUUCACCGGCCACCUACAGCCAAAACGCACAGUUUUUUGCCAAAAUAAGUCGCAUGCACAACAUGCUUAGUGUCUCUUCCUCUUCCCUGGAUGGAUGGGUCCUUCUCUUUAUAAUCCCAUCUCUCUCUUUUCACUUCUUUCUGUCCUCUCUCUCUCAAUGUUAUGGGAGAGAUUUUUAUUGUAAUUUUUAGAGAGGGAUAUCUCGGUGGGAUUGUGCCUAAGAGGACAAGCGCUUCUCAUCUCUCUCAACCACCCAUUUUGUUCAAAGAUGUUAUGGCGAAACUGCCCUUGAUGCUCAUCAGAUCCCUUGUAAAUCGGAGGUCAUUUUGGGUGUUUAAAAGAAUUAUAAGCUAUGGUGAGGAAGAAGAAUAAUUAAUAUUACACUAUAUUGCAACCUCUCUCCCACUCUCGCUCUACAACAUUUUCCUUCACUGAGUAGAAACUUGGCAGACAGGAUGGAGCCAGGCAAUUGUAGAUUUUGAGGAAGAAGAAAGGAGAGCAGUACUGCAACAAGCGCCAUUCAUCAUUCUGUAGCAUAUGGGUUGGAGAAUCUGAGUAUUAUAUAUUUAUGUAUGUACAUCAGAACUUUAAUUUUCAUGUCAUAUAUUAUGAGAAUUGUUGUCGCUUGUUCUUCCCAUUUUUAUUAAUAGAUAUUAUUAAUAUUGAAUACUGCUUUGAUAUAAUUUAUGCAAUUCCUUUAUAUUUAA